rnacentral:ribozyme from 15 species
AAGAAAAGCCGAUUUAUUUUAUUUUUAUUUUAUUUUUUUUUUUU